rnacentral:rRNA from 1 species
CUACGGGCGGCAGCAGUGGGGAAUCUUGGACAAUGGGGGCAACCCUGAUCCAGCCAUGCCGCGUGAGCGAUGAAGGCCUUAGGGUUGUAAAGCUCUUUCACCGGUGAAGAUAAUGACGGUAGCCGGAGAAGAAGCCCCGGCUAACUCCGUGCCAGCAGCCGCGGUAAUACGGAGGGGGCUAGCGUUGUUCGGAAUUACUGGGCGUAAAGCGCGCGUAGGCGGGCUGUUAAGUCGGGGGUGAAAUCCCGGGGCUCAGCCCCGGAACUGCCUUCGAUACUGGCAGCCUAGAGAUCUGGAGAGGCGAGUGGAAUUCCGAGUGUAGAGGUGAAAUUCGUAGAUAUUCGGAGGAACACCAGUGGCGAAGGCGGCUCGCUGGCCAGAUACUGACGCUGAGGUGCGAAAGCGUGGGGAGCAAACAGGAUUAGAUACCCUAGUAGUC